CAACGGAUCCGAUUGGGAUUUGCGAUUUAUGAUUUCAGAGUUGGAGCUGUAAGUUUCGAUUCACAUGGGGUUUCAAGAGGACGAUGGGUGAGCGAGAUCUACAGUAGAUUUCUAAGAAUUUUUCUGGUGUUUUACGAGAGAGAGGGAGAUCAAUUUUUUUGAGAUUUUUCUUCGCGAUUGGGAUGGGGGCUGUCGGAUCUGUGAGAGAACAGCCGUGGAAGUCGGCGGACCAUGAUUCAACAAGGAAAUGAAGGCAUUUCAGAUAUUUUCUGGUGAAAUUGGUGAUCGAAGCUAGUGAGAGCUGCGGUUGAAAGAUAGCUGCGGUAGAGAGAGAGAGCUGCGGAACUGAGAGUUUCAAUUUUUUCACCAGAGAUUCUCGGUGAGAAUUUUUAGAUUUGUGAGAAUAAUGACAGAUCGAUGGAUGCCGGAGAGAGGGAUGGCCAUUUUGGGAGAGAAAAUUGAAAUUGAGAUGCCUCGGCCAUUGUCGCCGGAAACUGGGAAAGGAACAGCCGGAAUAUUUUACAGAUCCCCC
rnacentral:lncRNA from 1 species